UACGAAGGGGGGCUAGCGUUGCUCGGAAUCACUGGGCGUAAAGGGCGCGUAGGCGGCCAUUCAAGUCAGAGGUGAAAGCCCAAGGCUCAACCUUGGAACUGCCUUUGAUACUAUUUGGCUUGAGACCGGUAGAGGUAAGUGGAACUGUGAGUGUAGAGGUGAAAUUCGUAGAUAUUCGCAAGAACACCAGUUGCGAAGGCGGCUUACUGGACCGGUUCUGACGCUGAGGCGCGAAAGCGUGGGGAGCAAACAGG
rnacentral:rRNA from 1 species